GACGAACGCUGGCGGCGUGCUUAACACAUGCAAGUCGAACGGAAAGGCCCUGCUUGCAGGGUACUCGAGUGGCGAACGGGUGAGUAACACGUGGGUGAUCUGCCCUGCACUUCGGGAUAAGCCUGGGAAACUGGGUCUAAUACCGGAUAGGAGCCAUUUUUAGUGUGAUGGUUGGAAAGUUUUUUCGGUGUAGGAUGAGCUCGCGGCCUAUCAGCUUGUUGGUGGGUAAUGGCCUACCAAGGCGGCGACGGGUAGCCGGCCUGAGAGGGUGGACGGCCACAUUGGGACUGAGAUACGGCCCAGACUCCUACGGGAGGCAGCAGUGGGGAAUAUUGCACAAUGGGCGCAAGCCUGAUGCAGCGACGCCGCGUGGGGGAUGACGGCCUUCGGGUUGUAAACUCCUUUCGCUAGGGACGAAGCUUUUGUGACGGUACCUAGAUAAGAAGCACCGGCUAACUACGUG
rnacentral:rRNA from 1 species